ACAGAGGGUGCAAGCGUUAAUCGGAAUUAUUGGGCGUAAAGAGCACGUAGGCGGAUUAGAAAGUUGGAUGUGAAAGCCCCGGGCUCAACCUGGGAACUGCAUUCAAAACUGCUAGUCUAGAGUAUAGGAGAGGAAAGCGGAAUUUCCGGUGUAGCAGUGAAAUGCGUAGAUAUCGGAAGGAACAUCAGUGGCGAAGGCGGCUUUCUGGCCUAAUACUGACGCUGAGGUGCGAAAGCGUGGGGAGCAAACAGG
rnacentral:rRNA from 1 species